UACAUGCAAGUCGAACGAACUCUGGUAUUGAUUGGUGCUUGCAUCAUGAUUUACAUUUGAGUGAGUGGCGAACUGGUGAGUAACACGUGGGAAACCUGCCCAGAAGCGGGGGAUAACACCUGGAAACAGAUGCUAAUACCGCAUAACAACUUGGACCGCAUGGUCCGAGUUUGAAAGAUGGCUUCGGCUAUCACUUUUGGAUGGUCCCGCGGCGUAUUAGCUAGAUGGUGGGGUAACGGCUCACCAUGGCAAUGAUACGUAGCCGACCUGAGAGGGUAAUCGGCCACAUUGGGACUGAGACACGGCCCAAACUCCUACGGGAGGCAGCAGUAGGGAAUCUUCCACAUGGACGAAAGUC
rnacentral:rRNA from 2 species